AACGAACGCUGGCGGCAUGCCUAACACAUGCAAGUCGAACGAAAAGUUCGGGUCUAGUGGCGCACGACUGCAUAACGCGAGGGAACAUGACCUUGGGUUCGGCCUAACUCCCAGACAGGGAUGCUAAUACCGGAUCAUGUCUUCGGCCCAAAGAUUUAUCGCCUUUGGAUGGGCCCGCGUUGGAUUAGCUAGUUGGUAGGGUAAAAGAUUAACAAGGCGACGAUCCAUAGCUGGUCUGAGAGGAUGAUCAGCCACUCUGGGACUGAGACACGGCCCAGACUCCUCCGGGAGGCAGCAGUGGGGAAUAUUGGACAACGGGCGAAAGCCUGAUCCAGCAAUGCCGCGUGAGUGAUGAAGGCCUUAGGGUUGUAAAGCUCUUUUACCCGGGAUGAUAAUGACAGUACCUGGAGAAUAAGCUCCGGCUAACUCCGUG
rnacentral:rRNA from 1 species